UACGGAGGGAGCUAGCGUUGUUCGGAAUUACUGGGCGUAAAGCGCGCGUAGGCGGUUUUUUAAGUCAGAGGUGAAAGCCCAGUGCUCAACACUGGAACUGCCUUUGAAACUGGAAAACUUGAAUCUUGGAGAGGUCAGUGGAAUUCCGAGUGUAGAGGUGAAAUUCGUAGAUAUUCGGAAGAACACCAGUGGCGAAGGCGGCUGACUGGACAUGUAUUGACGCUGAGGUGCGAAAGCGUGGGGAGCAAACAGG
rnacentral:rRNA from 1 species